AUUGAACGCUGGCGGCAGGCCUAACACAUGCAAGUCGAGCGAGCGGCGGACGGGUGAGUAAUGUCUGGGAAACUGCCUGCUGGAGGGGGAUAACUAAUGGAAACGGUAGCUAAUACCGCAUACCAUCAGAUGUGCCCAGAGGGGGUUAGCUAGUCGGUGGGGUAACGGCUCACCUCGGCGACGAUCCCUAGCUGGUCUGAGAGGAUGACCAGCCACACUGGAACGGAGACACGGGCCAGACUCCUACGUGAGGCAGCAGUGGGGAAUAUUGGACAAGGGGCGCAAGCCUGAUGCAGCCAGGCCGCGUGUGUGAAGAAGGCCUUCGGGUUGUAAAGCACUUUCAGCGGGGAGGCGUUACCCGCAGAAGAAGCACCGGCUAACUCCGUGCCAGCAGCCGCGGUAAUUC
rnacentral:rRNA from 1 species